AUCACCGUGCUAUUUUUGAGGGGACGGCUGAGAGUUAAAAUCAUGGGGUGGAUCUGCGCCUCCUUUGCCACCGCCGUCUUCAUAGCACCUCUGAGUAUCAUCGUAAGAACCUGCCGUUCGUCUAACCAUAUUUGUUCACUACAAGAGCAGCAAUUUUUUAAAAAAAUGAGCUUUAUAAAAUGGAGGGCAAGUUGAAUUAUCAUCUAAGACAAUGAGAGAAAUAAUUGAGAUCUUCUUAACUAGCAAACUAAACACAUGACAACAUGGAAAAGAGAAAUAACUCUAGAUUCAAGAAGAUUGAUAACAAUACAGACAAAUUAAUAUGCUACUGUGUUGCAGAGACAAGUGAUACGAACCAAAAGCGUCGAAUUCAUGCCGUUUACUCUGUCGUUAUUCCUCACUCUCAGUGCGGUCGCAUGGUUCUGCUACGGCCUCAUGCUGAAAGAUAGCUACAUCGCAGUAAGUUUCCAUAUAUAUGUAUAUUUAGGGUGUCACAGAAUACUUGUUAUAUCCUAUCAUUUAAGAAUUAUUUAUUUUUUAGUUUUUAGUAAAAAAAAAAAAAAAAAAAAAUUGAUACUAUCAUUAGAUUACGCAAUUUUUAUCUUGGCUAGUAGCUAACCAACAUGAUUCAAAUGUGAUUGAAUCAGCUUCCGAAUGUGGUCGGUGUCUUAUUCGGUUUGGCCCAGAUGCUUCUCUAUUUCAUCUACAUGAACGGAAAGAAGGAAACACCAGUAUCAGAAAUUACCGACCAGGACAAGAACCCCGCAACACUAGCAAACCCGAAUGCCGAUAUAGAGAUGAACAAGGAGAGCAUCGGAGUUACGACUCCGGAAGUCGAGAGUUCGAUGUCCGUGGCCGGAAAGAACGAGGCAUAGAGCUACCAAACUAACCUCCUCCUCCACCGCAAACUGACUGACAUUGCAGGAUGUUUUAAGCAGCAUAAGUUUUUUCUUUUUCUUUUUUUUUCCUUUUUAUGUUUCAUUAAGUGCCUUCUAGCUGUGUUCUUGUGUCAGUGACAAGUAGUGAAAAUAAGUAACUCCGUAGAACUCCUGCAUGUCUAGAGCACAAAUAAGGAAUGUAAUUUGUAUCCGCAUGAUAUUUGUGAGCAAUUUAAAUCAGAAUUCUAUACAUUCGGAGAUGCAUGCGAUAUAUGGAGAAAGAUCGAUAUGCAGAUUUUCAACUCACAUCUUAAUCUAGAAUGAAAAAAAGGGGUUUCGCAUAAAUUCUGAUUCUGGCAAAUUCGAUUUUGAUUCCAAACUCAAGAAAACAAGGAACAAAACAGCUUGCAUUUUUAUUAUGAUUCCAAAUAAUCGGACUCUAAUUGACGAGAACACGACUUAAAUUUACUACAAUAAGUUGCUGCUGCCCCUACGCGCGCUGAUACUGAUACCGAAUGAAUCUGGCAAUUAAACAGAAGCAAAAUUUUGACCUGAACAACAAGUAAUUCCAUAGAAGAUAAAAUAAAGUGCACAUUACAAAUGCUGUUUUGUCCUUGCCAACCUCUUUAAACUAAACAAACUACACUAAUUAAUCUUGCACAGACGAAAUUAAUCAGUAAACUUUGUACUAUAGGAAUUACUGAACAAAUCAUGAGAAUCCUAAUUCGAUUAAAUUGCGACACCCCAAUUUUUCUUGAUAAGAAUCAUUCCAUAUGCCAUUCAUGUUUUUCGUUACGUAGUUUUAGUCGAUUAAAUUGAAAAUUUGGUAAAAUUAAUCGACAAUUCGCUCUAAUUUCACAAUUCUGAAUAUUUUGAACGCAAGGAAAUGCCGAAAAGGACAAGUAACUAAAAAACACUAAUUCAAUUGACCAAGUAACUCACAUCAAAACAUAUAUAAGUUGAGGAAGUGCAAAAACAAUAAUAAUAAUAAUAAUAAUAAUAAUAAUAAUAAAGUUUAGAAGCCUAUUUCAAAACCGUGCAUAGUUGAGGGGUCUACAUUCAUUUUUAGCUAAAUAUUUAUAUUAGUUGCUUGCACUGUAGACGGUUCUGAUUCGACUAUCUAAGCUUUAAAAACUUGAUUUUAGCACCCAACAUUUUAAUUUAUUGGAUUUACGUCAUUUGAGGACUCUUAUGAUGCAAAAUUUAAGCUGAUUAUUUAUUUUCAUAAAUUUAUAGUUGAUAAAUUGCAUAAAAUAUGCUGAUUAAGCCUGUAAAGAUAAACGACGCAUUCAAUUUUUGAAGUUAAAAUGUUAUGAACAAAAUUCAACAAAAUUCUCAACUAAAGCAAGCAGAAUUAAAUUACUCAAUUCGAGAAAAUCCAAAAGUUGAAGGUACAUCAAUCAAAAAAUUCAAAGUUGUGGGACCAAUUUCAGAAUAGCAUAAAACUCUUUCCCAUUCGAGAAAGAGAAACCCUAGAGGAGGGAGAACACAUCGAGCGAUCUCAAAGUCCAACAAAAAAUUUAAAAAAUAAAAUAAAAUAAACAUUCACGAUCAAGAGCAAUCAAAGGAAAGAAACAACCAAUCGGAUCCAAACAAAUUACUGGACCAAAAAAAAAAAUGCAAUUGAAAAAAUUAAAAUAAAAAAGAUGAGGAAUUGUACGGACGAACCAUGUGAUCCACGUGGAGAAGAGAUCUGAGGAUAUUUUUAGCAAUAAUAAUAAAUAAAUAUUAAAUUAAAAUUAAGCAAUCGCUUGCUUAGAGAAGAGGAAAAAGAAAAAAAAAAAUUUGAAAGAGAGAGAGAGAGAGAGACAGGGGAUGUGGGGGAAAGCGAUUUUGUAUCACACACGCGAGAUGGUAAAAAUGAUGUCGAACCCCUCAACUAUCCCUUCUUCUGAAACCGCCCUUUUUCCUUUUAUUUUGUUUGAGUGGCUAAAAUUGCACUCCUGGUCC
rnacentral:lncRNA from 1 species